rnacentral:rRNA from 1 species
GACGAACCGUGCAAACGUUGUUCGGAAUCACUGGGCUUAAAGGGCGCGUAGGCGGCUUGCCAAGUCAGGGGUGAAAUACUUCAGCUUAACUGGAGAAGUGCCCUUGAUACUGGUUGGCUAGAGGGAGGUAGGGGCAUGUGGAACUUCUGGUGGAGCGGUGAAAUGCGUUGAUAUCAGAAGGAACGCCGGUGGCGAAAGCGACGUGCUGGACCUCUUCUGACGCUGAGGCGCGAAAGCUAGGGGAGCAAACGGG